rnacentral:lncRNA from 1 species
GGAGCGCCAUCUGGAAAUUACAAUUUCGCAUAUACCACACAAGGCUGCGCAGUCAUAAAGGUUGAGAGUUUUGGAAAGCGAAUGCGUGAAGAAUCUGCUCUCGAAACUCCUGAAGCACGUACAUACGAAGAAGGAAAAGAAGAAAGACAGGAGAAAGGAUUUGAUUGCAUGUUGUGGGGGAUACGAGACAAGCACCGAGGAAUACAACAGUGUUGCGAGAAAUAUUUUACU